GCUUAUGGCCAUACUACCCUGUCUGCACCUGAUCUAGUGUGAUCUCGGAAGCUAAGCAGGGUCAGGCCUGGUUAGUGCUUGGAUGGGAGACCGCCUGGGUAUACUGGGUGCUGUAAGCU
rnacentral:rRNA from 1 species